AUGAAACCAGCUACAGCUAGGCACUGUGCAAGCAAGUGUUCUGUUUCUUCGGCAGCUCUGUCAAAUGUUGGUGUGCUUCCUCCCUCCCCUGGAGGACCUGGCUUCAGUCUCUCACAAGCAGCAGUUGCCAGCUUCUUCAGCUGGUUUCAAGGCCUGAUGACAUUGACUAAUGGAGAACAGGGAAGCAAUGUCCAAACAGGCUGUACCACCCAGACCACGCUGAUCAAGGAAAAAAAAAUGUGUGAGAAACAGCCCUACAGAUACCAAGGAAGUGACUCAAUGAGAAGUGAACAUCUGCUGGAUAACUUUGCGCUACAUUAUGUAGCUUUACAAGAAGAGAAGAUGUACUGCAGAAAGACUGAUUGGAUCGGGAUUUUAGAGACUGACUACGAAUUUUAUGGACAUUUUGACACUCAUCUAAAGAAAGAUACCAUACAUAGGAGUUAUAUGUGGAGUCAGCUAUUUCAAGAAAUAAAACAUGAUGGACAGAAUUCAUAA
rnacentral:lncRNA from 1 species